GACCCGGUAUUUACCCCCCACCCCGGCACCCAGCAACCAGCAGCUCUGCAGAGGCGUGAUGCAGGAGCGUCAUGACGUCAGACCAAACGGUUCCGCACUCUUCAGCCUGUAACUGAAUAAACAUUGAGCAACAACGUGUGGCGCCGUUCACCUUCAUCCCAUUGUUGAUCACAGAGAAUCCUCAGCGUUCUUUGUGAGCAGAGAGGCGUUUCCCGGCAGAGCAGACUUCCCGGACAAAAACCAUUUAAAUGUGCAGAAGUAAAAGGAAACCUGUCGACACACGAGUCUCUGACACGAGAAACGUCAGAGCUGCAGGACAGCCGCUUCAGCAUCCAACGGGAAACUUCAGGAAGCUUCCCGGAUGCCAUUCAGAGAGGCGUCUUCAUCCAUGAAGAAGCUGAAACAUGGAGGAGGUCUCCGGUUUCACGUGAAGCCAUAUUGUGACGAAGCUGGACAAAGAUUUCCUGCUGGAAGCUGUGAAAGCUCCUCAUGCAGAGACCAGUAAGCAGAUCAUCUUCUCACAUCUGAAACAAACUCAAACACACAUUUCCAAUGCUUGGCUCUAAAUAUCUUGAGUUCUUAUGAAUUAAAGUAAAAGUAACAGA